rnacentral:misc_RNA from 1 species
GAAAUGCGAUAAUUAAUGUGAAUUGCAGAAUUCAGUGAAUCAUCGAGUCUUUGAACGCCCAUUGCGCCCCCUGGUAUUCCGGGGGGCAUGCCUGUCCGAGCGUCAUUGCUGCCCUCAAGCACGGCUUGUGUGUUGGGCUUCCGUCCCUGGCAACGGGGACGGGCCCAAAAGGCAGUGGCGGCACUAUGUCUGGUCCUCGAGCGUAUGGGGCUUUGUCACCCGCUCCCGUAGGUCCAGCUGGCAGCUAGCCUCGCAACCAAUCUUUUUAACCAGGUUGACCUCGGAUCAGGUAGGGAUACCCGCUGAACUUAAGC